UGGUCAUCCACUGGUCACUCUGGUCAUCCAUUGGUCACUGUGGUCACUCCCGGUGGCCACGUGGGUGCUCAGCAGUCAGUGGUCACUGCGGUCACCCAUUGGUCAGUGGUCACUCUGGGGUCACUCAUUGGUCACUCAUUGGUCACUCAUUGGUCACUCAUUGGUCACUCAUUGGUCACUCAUUGGUCACUCAUUGGUCACUCAUUGGUCACUCAUUGGUCACUCAUUGGUCACUCAUUGGUCACUCAUUGGUCACUCAUUGGUCACUCAUUGGUCACUCAUUGGUCACUCAUUGGUCACUCAUUGGUCACUCAUUGGUCACUCAUUGGUCACUCAUUGGUCACUCAUUGGUCACUCAUUGGUCACUCAUUGGUCACUCAUUGGUCACUCAUUGGUCACUCAUUGGUCACUCAUUGGUCACUCAUUGGUCACUCUGGUCACUCAGUGGUCACUCAUUGGUCACUCAGUGGUCACUCAGCGGUCACUCAGUGGUCAGUGGUCUCUCAGGGGUCACUGUGAUCAGGGGUCACUCAGUGGUCAGUGGUCAGUGGUUACUCAGUGGUAAGUACUCAGUGCUCACUGGUCAGGGCUCAGUGAGGGGUCAGGGGUCACUCCCAGUGGCCGUGCAGGCACUCAGCACUCAGGGCUCACUGCGGCCCCUCAGUGGUCACUGAGGUCACUCUGGGGACUCAUUGGUCACUCACUGGUCACUCAUUGGUCACUCAUUGGUCACUCAUCGGUCACUCAUCGGUCACUCAUUGGUCACUCAGUGGUCACUCUGGUCACUCAGUGGUCACUCAGUGGUCAGUCUGGUCACUCAUUGCUCACUCAUUGCUCACUCAU
rnacentral:lncRNA from 12 species